UGGGGAAUAUUGGACAAUGGGCGAAAGCCUGAUCCAGCCAUGCCGCGUGUGUGAAGAAGGUCUUCGGAUUGUACAGCACUUUAAGUUGGGAGGAAGGGCAGUAAGCGAAUACCUUGCUGUUUUGACGUUACCGACAGAAUAAGCACCGGCUAACUCUGUGCCAGCAGCCGCGGUAAUACAGAGGGUGCAAGCGUUAAUCGGAAUUACUGGGCGUAAAGCGCGCGUAGGUGGUUCGUUAAGUUGAAUGUGAAAGCUCCGGGCUCAACCUGGGAACUGCAUCCAAAACUGGCGAGCUAGAGUAGGGCAGAGGGUGGUGGAAUUGCCUGUGUAGCGGUGAAAUGCGUAGAUAUAGGAAGGAACACCAGUGGCGAAGGCGACCACCUGGGCUCAUACUGACACUGAGGUGCGAAAGCGUGGGGAGCAAACAGG
rnacentral:rRNA from 1 species